AUUGAACGCUGGCGGCAUGCCUUACACAUGCAAGUCGAACGGCAGCACGGGAGCAAUCCUGGUGGCGAGUGGCGAACGGGUGAGUAAUAUAUCGGAACGUGCCCAGUCGUGGGGAUAACGUAGCGAAAGCUACGCUAAUACCGCAUACGAUCUAUGGAUGAAAGCGGGGGAUCGCAAGACCUCGCGCGAUUGGAGCGGCCGAUAUCAGAUUAGGUAGUUGGUGAGGUAAAGGCUCACCAAGCCGACGAUCUGUAGCUGGUCUGAGAGGACGACCAGCCACACUGGGACUGAGACACGGCCCAGACUCCUACGGGAGGCAGCAGUGGGGAAUUUUGGACAAUGGGCGCAAGCCUGAUCCAGCAAUGCCGCGUGCAGGAUGAAGGCCUUCGGUUGUAACUGCUUUGUAC
rnacentral:rRNA from 1 species